GCAGGCUGUUGACUCCUCUCUGCUGGGCCAUGGCCGCCACACCGCCGUCACCGAGCUGCUACCGGUCAACUACAGCGUCCCCCGGCCCCGAGCGACGACCUGGGACAGAGACAACAACACGACGGUUGAGCAACACUGAGUUCAUCUCAGUGGUGUGCGGAGGCAGAGCGGAGCCAAGGCUGAUGACGUUCUCCAAACAGCAGUGGAACGAGCUGCAGCUCAUUAUUCAUCCUCUUUCAUACACCUUCAGUCCAAGUUUGGGAAGAGACAGAUAGAGGUCGUAAAAACUGGAGCUGCACGCGAGGCGGGAGUGAAGGAAGAGUGAGUGACGGGCAGAGCGACCUCCGGCUCCUCAGAGACAUCACCAGCUCCGUGUGGAAAACCCUCCCGGCUGUGUGUGCGGCAUGACAUCGAAUGGAUUUUGAAGGGUCCAAAGAGCAGCUGGCAAAUUACAAGAGUGUGGGAGACGGAGAGUCGAGGUAGAGGACCGAGGCUGUUUACAGAUGUUUCUCUAAGAACAGCUGGAUGAGAGUAAAGUUGUGUCUGGACUGAUGAACACUGAGCUGAGAAAAAAAAUAUCCAUUACAGCCACUUUUAGCAUCUAAGUAAUGUAAGAAAGAGAAUCAGUUAGAGAUUCGGAAGUGUGUGUGUGUGUGUGUGUGUGUGUGUGUGUGUGUGUGUUUUCCCCCUUUCUCAUCCUAUUAGUUUCUGCAGAGAUGGGGUCUGACAUUUAACCAUGUCACAGCAGACCCCCGAGCACAACGGCUACUUUCUAAUAGGAUAACAUCCUUAUUUGUUUGAACCGAGCAGAAUUGGAUUAUUACACACACACACACACACACACACACACACACACACACACACACACUUUCUUAUCUCUAACUUAUUCUCUUUCUUACAUUCAACACAUGAAGAUAACACAAUGACAUUAACAUGUUACAGCAGCACAGACAGAAAAAAUAAAUGAAUAAAAUUAAAUAAAUACAUAAUAAAACAAAAUAAAUAAAGACAUCACUGAAGCUGUAUAAUAUAUACAGUUAUGAUAAUAAGCAAAUUAUACAUUGUUGAUUUUUGGAGUGAAAAGAAGUAAAAGUUAAUUAUGUCUUCUUGUAAUAGUUUUAUCUUGAAAUAUGAUUUUAUUCUCAUAAUUUUACCACUUCAUUCUCUCGGAUUAUUUCUGUAUUAUUUUUCCCUCAACGUGGCUCUAAUACUCAUUUUGAAUUGUUUAUCAUUGCACAGUAUUUGUCUGUAACGUCUGAGCUGCCACUUGUUGGAAACUAAUUCACCUUAAUUCUGCAAAUAAAAGAUGUUUCCAGGGAUCAGAGCGGAGGAAGACGGUGAAGACACAGUGUGCUGAGAAAACAGGCGGGAAUAUGCGCAGAUUGUUCAGAUCUUCUUAAAUGAAUGACCCUGAUGAACCUAUUGAUUCAGGUUUCCUGCCGAGCGGCCGUUAGCCUCACUCCACAAGCCGCCUCACCUCUCGCCACGUGCACAGGAAGAAGGUGCACGUUCGUUUUUUUAAGACGUCAUUGAAAAUUCAGGAGCAUCAUUCUGGUACUGGUUUCCUGUGUGGGCGGAGCCGAGGGACGCCUUCAUACUCUGGAUGACCAUGUCAAUGUUUGAAUCCUCCGCCUUCUCAGCAUCACUGCUUUCCUUCUCCGUCGACUUCUUAGAGGCGUCUGGUGAAGAGAGGAGGGAAAAGAAGGAGAAUGAAGUAUCUGACGUCACCACCAACACAAACGGGACAAACAUUCGUCCAUGAAACACUGGAGCAUUACCUGCCAUGAUGUUAUCAGGAAGGACGGUGAUGUACUGCUCGCGGUCUGUCCUCGUGUGCUCGUGGUGGAAGCCCAGAGCGUGAAGAAUCUCGUGG